rnacentral:rRNA from 1 species
AACGAACGCUGGCGGCAGGCUUAACACAUGCAAGUCGAGCGAGACCUUCGGGUUUAGCGGCGGACGGGUGAGUAACGCGUGGGAACGUGCCCUUUACUACGGAAUAGCCCAGGGAAACUUGGAUUAAUACCGUAUACGCCCUUCGGGGGAAAGAAUUUCGGUGAAGGAUCGGCCCGCGUUGGAUUAGGUAGUUGGUGGGGUAAUGGCCUACCAAGGCGACGAUCAGUAGCUGGUCUGAGAGGAUGAUCAGCCACAUUGGGACUGAGACACGGCCCAAACUCCUACGGGAGGCAGCAGUGGGGAAUAUUGGACAAUGGGCGCAAGCCUGAUCCAGCCAUGCCGCGUGAGUGAUGAAGGCCCUAGGGUUGUAAAGCUCUUUUGUGCGGGAAGAUAAUGACGGUACCGCAAGAAUAAGCCCCGGCUAACUUCGUGCCAGCCGCCGCCGUAAGAC